UUUGACAGAUGUUUGGAUUACAACUUAAAGAAUUUCAAAUCCUUGCUAAAGAGGCAACAUCAAAGUUCCAGACACGUGGAAAACAAGCUAAAGUUGUCGAAAAGAUUUAGUUUUUAGCUGUUAGUUUGUUAGUUAUUUUCUUAUGAAUAUACAGUAGUUUUUCAUAGAAAAAAGGGGUCACAAAUCAUUAACAAAAGUUCUAUAAA
rnacentral:lncRNA from 1 species